rnacentral:rRNA from 1 species
AUUGAACGCUGGCGGCAUGCCUUACACAUGCAAGUCGAACGGCAGCAUGGAGAGCUUGCUCCCUGAUGGCGAGUGGCGAACGGGUGAGUAAUGCAUCGGAACGUACCGUGUAAUGGGGGAUAACGUAGCGAGAGUUACGCUAAUACCGCAUACGACCUGAGGGUGAAAGCAGGGGAUCGCAAGACCUUGCGUUAUACGAGCGGCCGAUGUCAGAUUAGCUAGUUGGUGAGGUAAAGGCUCACCAAGGCGACGAUCUGUAGCGGGUCUGAGAGGAUGAUCCGCCACACUGGGACUGAGACACGGCCCAGACUCCUACGGGAGGCAGCAGUGGGGAAUUUUGGACAAUGGGGGCAACCCUGGUCCAGCCAUGCCGCGUGAGUGAAGAAGGCCUUCGGGUUGUAAAGCUCUUUCGGCCGGGAAGAAAUCGCACAGGCUAAUACUCUGUGUGGAUGACGGUACCGGCAUAAGAAGCACCGGCUAACUACGUGCCAGCCGCCGCGGUAA